rnacentral:rRNA from 1 species
GACGAACGCUGGCGGCGUGCUUAACACAUGCAAGUCGAACGGAAAGGCCCUGCUUGCAGGGUACUCGAGUGGCGAACGGGUGAGUAACACGUGGGUGAUCUGCCCUGCACUUCGGGAUAAGCCUGGGAAACUGGGUCUAAUACCGGAUAGGAGCCAUUUUUAGUGUGAUGGUUGGAAAGUUUUUUCGGUGUAGGAUGAGCUCGCGGCCUAUCAGCUUGUUGGUGGGGUAAUGGCCUACCAAGGCGGCGACGGGUAGCCGGCCUGAGAGGGUGGACGGCCACAUUGGGACUGAGAGACGGCACAGACUCCGACGGGAGGCAGAAGGGGGGAAGAUUGCACAAUGGGCGCAAGCCUGAUGCAGCGACGCCGCGGGGGGGAUGACGGCCUUCGGGUUGUAAACUCCUUUCGCUAGGGACGAAGCUUUUUGUGACGGUACCUAGAUAAGAAGCACCGGCUAACUACGUG